AGAGAGGCGAACCACUGAACAUGAUUCAUUCAUUCAAUCACUGUCUGAGUGACGUUCUGAAGUAUACGGUGGAGCUCUUCCCCUGCCUUUUCAAGAUCAUAUCAUGCACCAUCAUGGAUAACUAACUGGCAAGCGAAAUAAAGAAAACUGUUGUUUGAAUACAUAUUGUAUCCUUUUCCACAGAGCCAGGUAGGUGUUGGAAGGUGUUUUGUCCAGUGUGAAAAGAAAUACAAACUGUAGCAAAAGGACACGUUCAAGAAGCUCAUCCUAAUUUCUAAAACGCUUGCCAGAACACUUGCAUCUUCUUGUUCACUUCAGCAAAGCACAAUCGAGAAGACGUUCAACACUUCUCUAUUCUGGGAUAUAAUUAAAGGAAAUUAUAAGUUUUGAGUGAACAUCUCCAACACAGCUGAAUGCAGUCUGUCUCACUUAAUGAGAGUUCAUUAGGAGCCACACCUGUGUCUGAUUAUCUGUUGUACUUCUAACGAGGUGUGUCAGUGGUUCUUGUUGUAGCCUGAGAAAAGGUUUUGUUGUGUUUUUCAUGUGAACAAAUUACUCUUAUUUCAGGAGUUUAUUCUCAUGAACUGCAGUGUGCCAUUUCAACUACUGGCACACUACAACUUCUUGCCAACUCAGGCGCCAACACCCUCGUUGAGCCUCCUUGAUGUUACACAGCGAACUGGCGGCGGUGCAGCUUUGGACAAAUCAAUCAGAAGGGUGGGAGAGUUACCUCAGCUACAGUCUCACAGGCUUUCAUCUUAAACUGGGAGCUCCACGCAUUGAUCUGUCAUGGAGCGCCCCUCCACAGAGCUGCUCUGUUAUGAAACCUGUUUGGGAGACACACUGGGUGGAAUGUGGCUGUGUGGGCCAGUGUCAACUGUGGUCUAUCUGCCGUCGUAGCCAGCAGCCCGAAGGCUCAGAGUCAACAGGGCUGGGCUGUAGCCGCCUGCCGCUGCACUAAGUGAAUAAUUGCACUCAGCUGCAGCUUCUGCUCCCUCUGCUGCUUCUCCAGCUCCUGCUCCAGCCGAUGGUUCUCCAUCUUCCUCUGGUGCUCCAGAAGCUCCUGCUGAUGCUUCAGCGCCAGGAGCUCUUGUUGCUGCUGCAGGAAGACAAACG